rnacentral:rRNA from 1 species
CGACCUACGGGUGAAAGCAGGGGAUCUUCGGACCUUGCGCGAUUGAAUGAGCCGAUGUCGGAUUAGCUAGUUGGCGGGGUAAAGGCCCACCAAGGCGACGAUCCGUAGCUGGUCUGAGAGGAUGAUCAGCCACACUGGAACUGAGACACGGUCCAGACUCCUACGGGAGGCAGCAGUGGGGAAUAUUGGACAAUGGGCGCAAGCCUGAUCCAGCCAUACCGCGUGGGUGAAGAAGGCCUUCGGGUUGUAAAGCCCUUUUGUUGGGAAAGAAAUCCAGCUGGCUAAUACCUGGUUGGGAUGACGGUACCCAAAGAAUAAGCACCGGCUAACUUCGUGCCAGCAGCCGCGGUAAUACGAAGGGUGCAAGCGUUACUCGGAAUUACUGGGCGUAAAGCGUGCGUAGGUGGUCGUUUAAGUCCGUUGUGAAAGCCCUGGGCUCAACCUGGGAACUGCA